UUACGGCCACAGCAUGUUGAAAGACCGGUUCCCGUACGAUCACUGAAGUUAAGCAACGUCAAGCCUGGACUGUAACUAGAUGGAUGACCGCUUGUGAAUACCAGCUGCUGUAGG